UGAACUGUAGUCCUCAAACACCUGUGU
rnacentral:piRNA from 1 species